GAGUUUGAUCCUGGCUCAGGAUGAACGCUAGCUACAGGCUUAACACAUGCAAGUCGAGGGGCAGCAUGGGCUUAGCUUGCUAAGCCCGAUGGCGACCGGCGCACGGGUGAGUAACACGUAUCCAACCUUCCGGUAACUCCGGUAUAGCCUUUCGAAAGAAAGAUUAAUCCCGGAUAGUAUGGUGAUUCCGCAUGGUUUCUCCAUUAAAGGAUUCCGGUUACCGAUGGGGAUGCGUUCCAUUAGGCAGUUGGCGGGGUAACGGCCCACCAAACCUACGAUGGAUAGGGGUUCUGAGAGGAAGGUCCCCCACAUUGGAACUGAGACACGGUCCAAACUCCUACGGGAGGCAGCAGUGAGGAAUAUUGGUCAAUGGGCGGAAGCCUGAACCAGCCAAGUAGCGUGAAGGAUGACUGCCCUAUGGGUUGUAAACUUCUUUUAUAAGGGAAUAAUUGUGGGUACGCGUACCCAUUUGCAUGUACCUUAUGAAUAAGGAUCGGCUAACUCCGUGCCAGCAGCCGCGGUAAUACGGAGGAUCCGAGCGUUAUCCGGAUUUAUUGGGUUUAAAGGGAGCGUAGGCGGGCGCUUAAGUCAGCUGUGAAAGUUUGGGGCUCAACCUUAAAAUUGCAGUUGAUACUGGGUGCCUUGAGUGCAGUAUAGGCAGGCGGAAUUCGUGGUGUAGCGGUGAAAUGCUUAGAUAUCACGAAGAACUCCUAUUGCGAAGGCAGCUUGCUGGAGUGUAACUGACGCUGAUGCUCGAAAGUGUGGGUAUCAAACAGGAUUAGAUACCCUGGUAGUCCACACAGUAAACGAUGAAUACUCGCUGUUUGCGAUAUACUGCAAGCGGCCAAGCGAAAGCGUUAAGUAUUCCACCUGGGGAGUACGCCGGCAACGGUGAAACUCAAAGGAAUUGACGGGGGCCCGCACAAGCGGAGGAACAUGUGGUUUAAUUCGAUGAUACGCGAGGAACCUUACCCGGGCUUGAAUUGCAACCGAAUUAUCCGGAAACGGGUAAGCCGCAAGGCGGUUGUGAAGGUGCUGCAUGGUUGUCGUCAGCUCGUGCCGUGAGGUGUCGGCUUAAGUGCCAUAACGAGCGCAACCCUUAUCCACAGUUACCAUCAGGUGAUGCUGGGGACUCUGUGGAGACUGCCGUCGUAAGAUGCGAGGAAGGGGGGGAUGACGUCAAAUCAGCACGGCCCUUACGUCCGGGGCUACACACGUGUUACAAUGGGGGGUACAGCAGGCAGCUCGGCGGCGACGCCCGGCCAAUCCCUAAAUCCCCUCUCAGUUCGGACUGGAGUCUGCAACCCGACUCCACGAAGCUGGAUUCGCUAGUAAUCGCGCAUCAGCCACGGCGCGGUGAAUACGUUCCCGGGCCUUGUACACACCGCCCGUCAAGCCAUGAAAGCCGGGGGUACCUGAAGUGCGUAACCGUCCAGGAGCGCCCUAGGGUAAAACCGGUGAUUGGGGCUAAGUCGUAACAAGGUAGCCGUACCGGAAGGUGC
rnacentral:rRNA from 2 species